GACGAACGCUGGCGGCGUGCUUAACACAUGCAAGUCGAACGGAAAGGCCCUGCUUGCAGGGUACUCGAGUGGCGAACGGGUGAGUAACACGUGGGUGAUCUGCCCUGCACUUCGGGAUAAGCCUGGGAAACUGGGUCUAAUACCGGAUAGGAGCCAUUUUUAGUGUGAUGGUUGGAAAGUUUUUUCGGUGUAGGAUGAGCUCGCGGCCUAUCAGCUUGUUGGUGGGGUAAUGGCCUACCAAGGCGGCGACGGGUAGCCGGCCGGCGAGGGUGGACGGCCACAUUGGGACUGGGAUAAGGCCCAGAAUCCUACGGGAGGCAGCAGUGGGGAAUAUUGCACAAUGGGCGCAAGCCUGAUGCAGCGACGCCGCGUGGGGGAUGAAGGCCUUCGGGUUGUAAACUCCUUUCGCUAGGGACGAAGCUUUUUGUGACGGUACCUAGAUAAGAAGCACCGGCUAACUACGUG
rnacentral:rRNA from 1 species